rnacentral:lncRNA from 1 species
CUUCUCUUUUCCCUUCUUUUUUCUUUUUUUUCCAUUCUGUCUUUCUCUUUUUUUCCUCUUCUUUUUCUCUUGUCCUUUUCUUCCCCUCCUAGACAGCAGGCCACCGGCCCAGCCAGCCGCCCCACUUCCCCUCUCUCCCACCGGCCUGCCCAAUUUCCCCCGGCUGCCUCUCUCCUCCCGCUAGGCCAAGCCAUCAGCCCAGCCCACUUCUCCCGCUCGCUCCAUCCUUCCCUCCCCAUUAGGCUGAGGCCGCCAUGGCCCACAGCCGGCCACGAGUCCGCGAGCAUUGGCAUGUGAGGCGGCGAUGGGACGCGGAUUCA